ACCUCCACUUGCCAACUGCUACUUCCCUUCUCUCAACCCUCGCUGCUCCUAUCUCAAUGCUCCCACCGCUGUUGCUCUCUACCUCUCUGCUGCUCCUCUCCCACAUCCCUGCUGGCUGCUACUACCUUUCCCCAAAAGAACUGAUGCUCUCUCACUGCUGCUGCACCUUCUCUCCUUGCUGAACCUCUGCUACUGUUAAACUGCAUCUCUCUCAUUGUGUAAUUUUGUGAACAGUUACUGUGGAGACGUGAUCAACUAUAUUUUGUACUAGUUCAAUAUUUUAUGCCAUGUUCAUCAGCUAGUGGUUUGUAAAACUUCAGAUUACUUCUCGUGAAUUAUGUGUUGAAAUUUAGUGUGGAGUUGUAAUCUGUUUUACUAUUUCAAUGUAUGAGAAUUUUCUGUCAGUUAGUUUCCUGUGAUAUCCUGAUUACAUAUUGUGAUUAUUUUGUGUUGAUGUGGCUCUCUGUAGAAGUGAGAUGUAUGAACAUUUAAAGUCCAUUCCAUGUGAUAGCUUUGUCCCUGUGACAAAUAUGUUUGUAAUGCGAAACAUAUCUAUUAUGCUAUAUGUGUUCAUGUCCUGUCGUUUCCCUUUAUGUUAGUUUCUAAUUUCUCAAGCCUAAAAAAAUACCAAAAAUACAGUGAUUGCAUUCUUAUCCCCCCUAUGCUUGUUUGCAUCUUCUUUGUCGACGUUUUUUAUGAAAUAUGAUAGUUUAGGUUUAUUUCCCUCAAUCAUCAUUUGAAUUGUAUUAUCUAGAUUUAACUGAGCAUAGACGCUGAUGUGCCUAGUCCCUAUGGAGAACAUGACACACUUGCAGAUUUGGGCGAAAUACCCCACUGUACUUACACCCGAUCAUUUUGGAAGGCGCACCAGCACGACGGCCUGUCCGUGGGAUCGGUGGUAUGUUCCUUUGAAAAGUGCGCAAAGGCACUAUAAACUUCAUGAUUCCGACUAUGAGACUAAGGGAAAUAAUAAGAGGAGGGACUGAUUAUGAAGAAUUAAAGACCCAGGGGGGAUUG